GUGUGGUGUAAAUUUUCUUAUGUCGACACUUAGCAAAAUAUAUAGCAGCACAGUCAAUCACAUUUGAAAGCCUCCCCUCGGACCAUCCUUAUCAGUUGGUGCCGUCGACUCCUAUCCGAACCGAGGGUGAGACCGUCUGUUCCAAGGACCACACCCGCGGGAAGACCAAGUCUGGGGGGAGCAACAGCUUUAACCAUCCAGAGGAAUCUGGGGCCGCUCAAAGGGCAUAAUCAACCCUACAGAACGCAAUCCAAACGCUGAACCAGGAAGUCACAAUCUGCAGAGUUUGUCCUUGUGAAAAGACUCGUGAGGGGGCCGCUGGAACCUAGAUUUGUUAUGACUGACAGCUCUGACUUCGGUGAAACUGGAAGGUGAAUCAACAUGGAUACGCCUCACACUGCAAGAGGGUUCCUACACCAUGCUCCUGAUACAUAUCCUUUUUCAACCUUGAGAUGGAGUCUGUGGAUACAAGAGGUCUGAAAAUUGGACUUUGUGGAAGGAUGAAAACAUCUCAAGAUAGAGACGUUGCAACACAAGUGACUUAUGCUACGCCCUGCUCAAAUGACCAAUCAGCAUAAAGAAGGAUAAUUUGAUGCAUAGUUUUACCCUUUCCCCUCCCCUUUUUUGUCAGAUUGUAAAAACAAAUGUGAUUUCCGGAUAAUAAACAGAAC